UACGGGGGGGGCAAGCGUUGUUCGGAUUCAUUGGGCGUAAAGGGUGCGUAGGUGGCGCCGUAAGUCGGGUGUGAAAUUUCGGAGCUUAACUCCGAAACUGCAUUCGAUACUGCGGUGCUUGAGGACUGGAGAGGAGACUGGAAUUCAUGGUGUAGCAGUGAAAUGCGUAGAGAUCAUGAGGAAGACCAGUGGCGAAGGCGGGUCUCUGGACAGUUCCUGACACUGAGGCACGAAGGCCAGGGGAGCAAACGGG
rnacentral:rRNA from 1 species